rnacentral:rRNA from 1 species
GAUGAACGCUGGCGGCGGGCCUAAUACAUGCAAGUCGAACGAACAGAUGAGGAACUUGCUCCCCUGACGUUAGCGGGGGACGGGUGAGUAACAUGUGCGGAACCUACCUAGAAAACUGGGAUAACUUCGGGAAACCGGAGCCAAUACCGGGUUAUAUAUUGAACCGCAUGGUUCGAGAGUGAAUGGCGGUUUUGCUGUGACUUAGACAAGCAUGGCGGCCGCAUUAACUAGGUGGUAGGGUAACGGCUUACAAAGGCGGCCAUGCGUAGGCGACCUGAGAGGGUGAUCGGCCACACGGGAACUGAGACACGGUCCAGACUCCUACGGGAGGCAGCAGUAGGGAAUCUUCCGCAAUGGGCGAAAGCCUGACGGAGCAAAGCCGCGUGAGUGAUGAAGGUCUUCUGAUCGUAAAGCUCUGUUAGUAGGGAGGAACAAAUGUGUAAGUACCUAUGAACGUAUUGACGGUACCUGAAGAAAAAGCCCCGGCUAACUACGUG